GACGAACGCUGGCGGCGUGCUUAACACAUGCCAGUCGAACGGAAAGGCCCCCACCUUGGUGGGGGUGCUCGAGUGGCGAACGGGUGAGUAACACGUGGGUGAUCUGCCCUGUACUUCGGGAUAAGCUUGGGAAACUGGGUCUAAUACCGGAUAGGACCAUGGUUUAGUGUCUCAUGGUGGAAAAAUUAUUGUUUUGGUGCAGGAUGAGCUCGCGGCCUAUCAGCUUGUUGGUGGGGUAAUGGCCUACCAAGGCGUCGACGGGUAGCCGGCCUGAGAGGGUGGACGGCCACAUUGGGACUGAGAUACGGCCCAGACUCCUACGGGAGGCAGCAGUGGGGAAUAUUGCACAAUGGGCGCAAGCCUGAUGCAGCGACGCCGCGUGGGGGAUGACGGCCUUCGGGUGGUAAACUCCUUUCGUUAGGGACGAAGCCACACCUUUUUUGGGUGUGGUGACGGUACCUUUGUUAAGAAGCACCGGCUAACUACGUG
rnacentral:rRNA from 1 species